UCCCCUGUAGCUCAGUUGGUAAAGAAUCUGCCUGCAGAGCAGGAGACCCGGGUUUGAUUCCCGGGUGGGGAA